rnacentral:rRNA from 2 species
UAAGCCAGUGAAGGUGUGUCGUGAGGCAUGCUGGAGGUAUCAGAAGUGCGAAUGCUGACAUAAGUAACGAUAAAGCGGGUGAAAAGCCCGCUCGCCGGAAGACCAAGGGUUCCUGUCCAACGUUAAUCGGGGCAGGGUGAGUCGACCCCUAAGGCGAGGCCGAAAGGCGUAGUCGAUGGGAAACGGGUUAAUAUUCCCGUACUUGGUGUUACUGCGAAGGGGGGACGGAGAAGGCUAUGUUGGCCGGGCGACGGUUGUCCCGGUUUAAGCGUGUAGGUGUGUGUUCCAGGUAAAUCCGGUUCACUUUAACACUGAGGCGUGACGACGAGGCACUACGGUGCUGAAGCAACAAAUGCCCUGCUUCCAGGAAAAGCCUCUAAGCAUCAGGUAACAUCAAAUCGUACCCCAAACCGACACAGGUGGUCAGGUAGAGAAUACCAAGGCGCUUGAGAGAACUCGGGUGAAGGAACUAGGCAAAAUGGUGCCGUAACUUCGGGAGAAGGCACGCUGACACGUAGGUGAAGUGAUUUACUCAUGGAGCUGAAGUCAGUCGAAGAUACCAGCUGGCUGCAACUGUUUAUUAAAAACACAGCACUGUGCAAACACGAAAGUGGACGUAUACGGUGUGACGCCUGCCCGGUGCCGGAAGGUUAAUUGAUGGGGUCAGCGCAAGCGAAGCUCCUGAUCGAAGCCCCGGUAAACGGCGGCCGUAACUAUAACGGUCCUAAGGUAGCGAAAUUCCUUGUCGGGUAAGUUCCGACCUGCACGAAUGGCGUAAUGAUGGCCAGGCUGUCUCCACCCGAGACUCAGUGAAAUUGAACUCGCUGUGAAGAUGCAGUGUACCCGCGGCAAGACGGAAAGACCCCGUGAACCUUUACUAUAGCUUGACACUGAACAUUGAGCCUUGAUGUGUAG